rnacentral:rRNA from 1 species
UAACAUAAGUAACCUGCCGUUUACGGGGGAGUAACUAUUGGUAAACGAAUAGCUAAGACCGCAUAGGUGUGAUAACCACAUGGAGAUGACAUGAAAUAUGCUACGGCAUAGGUAGAGGAUGGACUUAUGGCGCAUUAGCUAGUUGGAGGGGUAACGGCCCACCAAGGCGACGAUGCGUAGCCGACCUGAGAGGGUGACCGGCCACACUGGGACUGAGACACGGCCCAG